GAUGAACGCUAGCGGCAGGCUUAACACAUGCAAGUCGAGGGGUAUUGGUUUUCGGACCAAGAGACCGGCGCACGGGUGCGUAACGCGUAUGCAAUCUACCUUUUGCAGAGGGAUAGCCCAGAGAAAUUUGGAUUAAUACCUCAUAGUAUAUAAAGUUGGCAUCAACCUUAUAUUAAAGUCACAACGGCAAAAGAUGAGCAUGCGUCCCAUUAGCUAGAUGGUAAGGUAACGGCUUACCAUGGCUACGAUGGGUAGGGGUCCUGAGAGGGAGAUGCCCCAGACGGGUACUGAGACACGGGCCAGAGUGCGACGGGAGGCAGCAGUGAGGAAGAUUGGUCGAUGGACGCAAGUCUGAACCAGCCAUGCCGCGUGCAGGAUGACGGUCCUAUGGAUUGUAAACUGCUUUUGUACGAGAAGAAACAACAUUACGUGUAAUGUCUUGACGGUAUCGUAAGAAUAAGGAUCGGCUAACUCCGUGCCAGCCGCCGCGGUAACAC
rnacentral:rRNA from 1 species